rnacentral:rRNA from 1 species
UUUUUGACCUGAGCUCAGUCGAGAUCACCCGCUGAACUUAAGCAUAUCAGUAAGCGGAGGAAAAGAAACUAAAUAGGAUUCCCUUAGUAACGGCGAGUGAAA